rnacentral:rRNA from 1 species
ACAUGCAGUCGAGCGAUCUGAGGGAGCUUGCUCCCAAAGAUUAGCGGCGGACGGGUGAGUAACACGUGGGCAACCUGCCUGUAAGACUGGGAUAACUCCGGGAAACCGGGGCUAAUACCGGAUAAUAUCUAUUUAUACAUAUAAUUAGAUUGAAAGAUGGUUCUGCUAUCACUUACAGAUGGGCCCGCGGCGCAUUAGCUAGUUGGUGAGGUAACGGCUCACCAAGGCGACGAUGCGUAGCCGACCUGAGAGGGUGAUCGGCCACACUGGGACUGAGACACGGCCCAGACUCCUACGGGAGGCAGCAGUAGGGAAUCUUCCGCAAUGGACGAAAGUCUGACGGAGCAACGCCGCGUGAGUGAUGAAGGUUUUCGGAUCGUAAAACUCUGUUGUUAGGGAAGAACAAGUACCGGAGUAACUGCCGGUACCUUGACGGUACCUAACCAGAAAGCCACGGCUAACUACGUGCCAGCAGCCGCGGUAAUACGUAGGUGGCAAGCGUUGUCCGGAAUUAUUGGGCGUAAAGCGCGCGCAGGCGGUUCCUUAAGUCUGAUGUGAAAGCCCACGGCUCAACCGUGGAGGGUCAUUGGAAACUGGGGAACUUGAGUGCAGAAGAGGAAAGUGGAAUUCCAAGUGUAGCGGUGAAAUGCGUAGAGAUUUGGAGGAACACCAGUGGCGAAGGCGACUUUCUGGUCUGUAACUGACGCUGAGGCGCGAAAGCGUGGGGAGCAAACAGGAUUAGAUACCCUGGUAGUCCACGCCGUAAACGAUGAGUGCUAAGUGUUAGAGGGUUUCCGCCCUUUAGUGCUGCAGCAAACGCAUUAAGCACUCCGCCUGGGGAGUACGACCGGCAAGGUUGAAACUCAAAGGAAUUGACGGGGGCCCGCACAAGCGGGUGGGAGCAUUGUGGUUUAAUU